UACAGAGGGGGCAAGCGUUGUUCGGAAUUACUGGGCGUAAAGGGCGCGUAGGCGGCCUUCUAAGUCGAACGUGAAAUCCCUGGGCUCAACCCAGGAACUGCGUCCGAUACUGGAAGGCUUGAAUCCGGGAGAGGGAUGCGGAAUUCCAGGUGUAGCGGUGAAAUGCGUAGAUAUCUGGAGGAACACCGGUGGCGAAGGCGGCAUCCUGGACCGGUGUUGACGCUGAGGCGCGAAAGCCAGGGGAGCAAACGGG
rnacentral:rRNA from 1 species